rnacentral:rRNA from 1 species
GAUGAACGCUGGCGGCGUGCCUAAUACAUGCAAGUCGAGCGAACAGACGAUGAUCUUGCUCCUCUGACGUUAGCGGCGGACGGGUGAGUAACACGUGGAUAACCUACCUAUAAGACUGGGAUAACUUCGGGAAACCGGAGCUAAUACCGGAUAAUAUAUUGAACCGCAUGGUUCAAUAGUGAAAGACGGUUUUGCUGUCACUUAUAGAUGGAUCCGCGCCGCAUUAGCUAGUUGGUAAGGUAACGGCUUACCAAGGCAACGAUGCGUAGCCGACCUGAGAGAGUGAGCGGCCACACGUGAUCUGCGACACGCUCCAGACUCCUAAGGGGGGCAGCAGUAGCGAAUUUUUCGGAUUGCGCGAAAGCUUGGCGGAGCAACGCCGCGUGAAUGAUGAAGGUCUUCGGAUCCUAUGACCCUGUAAUUCGGGAAGAAGGAAUGUGUAAGCACCUAGGCACGUCUUGACAGUACCCAUUCAGAAGGACACAGCUAUCGACGUG